rnacentral:rRNA from 1 species
AGUGAACGCUGGCGGUAGGCCUAACACAUGCAAGUCGAACGGCAGCACAGUAAGAGCUUGCUCUUACGGGUGGCGAGUGGCGGACGGGUGAGGAAUACAUCGGAAUCUACUUUUUCGUGGGGGAUAACGUAGGGAAACUUACGCUAAUACCGCAUACGACCUACGGGUGAAAGCAGGGGAUCUUCGGACUUUGCGCGAUUGAAUGAGCCGAUGUCGGAUUAGCUAGUUGGCGGGGUAAAGGCCCACCAAGGCGACGAUCCGUAGCUGGUCUGAGAGGAUGAUAAGCCAAACUAGAACUGGGGCACGGGCCAGACUCCGACGGGAGGCAGCAGUGGGGAAUAUUGGACAAUGGGCGCAAGCCUGAUCCAGCCAUACCGCGUGGGUGAAGAAGGCCUUCGGGUUGUAAAACCCUUUUGUUGGGAAAGAAAAGCAGCGGAUUAAUACCCCGCUGUUCUGACGGUACCCAAAGGAUAAGCACCGGCUAACUUCGUG